rnacentral:tRNA from 1 species
GUUUCUGUAGUUGAAGGACAACGAUGAUUUUUCAUGUCAUAGGUCGUGGAUAAAACCAUGCGGAAAUU